rnacentral:rRNA from 1 species
UACGUAGGUGGCAAGCGUUAUCCGGAAUUAUUGGGCGUAAAGAGCGCGCAGGUGGUUAAUUAAGUCUGAUGUGAAAGCCCACGGCUUAACCGUGGAGGGUCAUUGGAAACUGGCAGUCUUGAGUACAGUAGAGGUGGGCGGAAUUCGUGGUGUAGCGGUGAAAUGCUUAGAUAUCACGAAGAACUCCGAUUGCGAAGGCAGCUCACUGGACUGCAACUGACACUGAGGCUCGAAAGUGUGGGUAUCAAACAGG